AAUAAUAUAAACUUCCUAAUUAAUUAAUAGAAACCUAAACUUCUUAAGUUUAUAAUGAAAAUCAAAUCAAAAUAACUCCUUUUCCUUGAUUGGUCCCCCACUUGAAGAAAACUCUAUCUCGAGUUUUACAGUGCUGAAGAAUAAAAAUUUGAAUUUGGAGAACAAACAAACUUAUCUUAUUGGAUGGGAGCAAUAAGAUCGAAAUGAAUAACUUCAUACUUUGCUUCACAUCCUUUGAAAUAUCUUAACAUAGAAAAUCAGUCCCAACUACAGUUGAAAAAGCUCUUCAAUUCAUCAAGAACAAAAGAAUUAAAUAAAUUUUCAAUUUUCAUUAUCUUCUCAACGUUAUGUUUUUCUUCUUUCCCCAGGAUCAAAUCCUCAAAACCUUUUUUUGCUCCUCAUCAGCUUCUUUCUCUAGAAU
rnacentral:misc_RNA from 1 species